CCUGAGAAACCCAAAAGAUCGAAUGGGGAGAUUCAUCGUCAGCGGCUUUGGCUUCCGUGCGGUACGCGAUGGCGGGGACCUCGGUCUCGCGUCACGCUGCCGCUGCGGCAUGUCCGGAGUCGUCGGCGUGCACUUCUCCCCUAGUAGGACGUCGCGACCCGUUGGGUGUCGGAUCGAUGGCCGGUCGGUCGUCUGUUGCGCUCGCGCUUCAGACCGAUUCGGUCGAAAGUCCGGCUGCCCGGCGGUAUUGAACGAUAUGAACUGGUAUCGGGCCGCACUCGAAUGCGUUCAGGCUCGUCGGCAGGCUCGUCUCGCUCGGAUUUACGGACCUAGCGCCGUUGCCGGGUGCUUGGCGUGGCUGUUAGUCGACGAUGUCCUCGGACUGGCUCUUACCCGUCGGCGACGCUACUGCUUUGGGUACUUUC
rnacentral:rRNA from 1 species